GACGAACGCUGGCGGCGUGCUUAACACAUGCAAGUCUAACGAGUGGCGAACGGGUGAGUAACACGUGGGUGAUCUGCCUUUCACUUCGGGAUAAGCUUGGGAAACUGGGUCUAAUACCGGAUAGUGCAAGAUGAGCUCGCGGCCUAUCAGCUUGUUGGUGGGGUAAUGGCUACCAAGGCGCGACGGGUAGCCGGCCUGAGAGGGUGUACGGCAGCAUUGGGAAUGAGAUACAGAGCAGAAUCAUACGGCAGGCAGAAGUGGAGGAUAUGGCAAGAUGGGCGGAAGCAUGAUGCAGCGACGGCGCGUCGGGGAUCAAGGCCCCCGGAUUGAAAACUCCUUCGACCAGGGACGGGGUACCUGUAUAAGAAGCACCGGCAAACUAAGGGACAGCAGCCGCGGUAAUUC
rnacentral:rRNA from 1 species